rnacentral:lncRNA from 1 species
CCUGACCCCCAUUCGGCUGAGCAGUCGUCCCUUCAGUUUCACCGGCGGCGAGCGGCUUGCUGCACCCGCGCUUUACGUCAUGGCUCCGCCUGUCACUUGUCGUCAGCGUCUGGACGCUGACACCAGUGUGGAGGAGCCCAAGAGAGGCCUGUCUUUGGAGCACGUGGACAUGGGAUGCAUGAGCACUGCUAUUCAGAGUCCUCCCUGAAGCAACUCAAGGCCUCCAGGACUGGGAAAAUGCUGAGAUCUCCAGGCACUUGCUAACUCUUUCAAAUGGAAAAAUCUCUGGCUUACUGGGGAUGACGUAUCAACAAACUGUCUAAAGAAGCAGAGUCCUCACCUUCAGAAACUCAAGUCCUGAAGCACUGCCUAUAAAACCCUUCACAC